GAUGAACGCUGGCGGCGUGCCUAAUACAUGCAAGUCGAGCGAACAGACGAGGAGCUUGCUCCUCUGACGUUAGCGGCGGACGGGUGAGUAACACGUGGAUAACCUACCUAUAAGACUGGGAUAACUUCGGGAAACCGGAGCUAAUACCGGAUAAUAUAUUGAACCGCAUGGUUCAAUAGUGAAAGACGGUUUUGCUGUCACUUAUAGAUGGAUCCGCGCCGCAUUAGCUAGUUGGUAAGGUAACGGCUUACCAAGGCAACGAUGCGUAGCCGACCUGAGAGGGUGAUCGGCCACCCUGGAACUGAGACACGGUCCAGACUCCUACGGGAGGCAGCAGUAGGGGAUCUUCCGCAAUGGGCGAAAGCCUGACGGAGCAACGCCGCGUGAGUGAUGAAGGUCUUCGGAUCGUAAAACUCUGUUAUUAGGGAAGAACAAAUGUGUAAGUAACUAUGCACGUCUUGACGGUACCUAAUCAGAAAGCCACGGCUAACUACGUG
rnacentral:rRNA from 1 species